UAUUUCUCGCUCGCUUUUACGCAAUAUAUGAGAAACAUGUUAGAUUUACACACAAACACAGCAGUUUUGGAGCGUUUUCCACCAUGUUGGAUUACCAGCCAAAGAGACCACCCAGCAGACGUCACCAUCCAUAUCUACUCUGAUUGGCUGUCACCAUCUGCUUCCUAAUAUCCCUCCACAAGACUAGAGAAGCCCCUACAUGAUCUGUGAUAUUGCUAACAUAAACUGUAUGUGUGGCAUAAGCAUUUUAAAGUCGUCUGCUCUUAAUUUUUUUUUUCUUUGUCAUAGACAAUGCAAAUUUUGAACAUAUGGGCAAUGUCAUAUUCUGAAUCUAUUAUUUAAAGGCUAUUAAAUAUAAUUAUAGUGG